rnacentral:rRNA from 1 species
GACGAACCGUGCGAACGUUGUUCGGAUUCACUGGGCUUAAAGGGCGCGUAGGCGGGCAAUCAAGUCAGGGGUGAAAGCCUCCAGCUUAACUGGAGAAGUGCCUCUGAUACUGGUCGUCUUGAGGGAGGUAGGGGCAUGUGGAACUUCCGGUGGAGCGGUGAAAUGCGUAGAUAUCGGAAGGAACACCUGUGGCGAAAGCGGCUCACUGGACCAUUACUGACGCUGAUGCACGAAAGCUAGGGGAGCAAACAGG